ensembl:lincRNA 2810030D12Rik RIKEN cDNA 2810030D12 gene
CCGAGGUUAGAAGACCUGGAUCCACUUUGCAGGAUUUUAAAUAUCCUUCAAGCCUCAGUGCCUGGCAGACUGGACUUUGGACUUCGGACUUCCAGCUCCGAUGCUGAAAAAGGAGGGUUUUUUUGUUUGUUUGUUUUUCCACUUUGCUUCCUUGCUUGUCGAGGCUGAGAACAUACGGUGUUUUUGAGGGCCACCAUCUACGGGUACUCGCUUCUCCAAACCUUGGAACCCGAGGUCUAGCCUUGGAAAGAGUUGCCGCCUUACCGUCUCUCCUCGCCUAGAGAAGCCCCAGCUGUGUGCGCUACUUCAGGGUCACAGUGCCGCGGUGCCGAGCUUCUUUCGUGGUCCCUGUCGCCGUCAGUUUCUUGAGAUUUCAGACUCUGGGCUUGGAAACCAGUUGACUGCCUUUCUUAGCGAGGUGCCCUCGGAAACCUGUGGAGGAAUGUUUGGAUUAUGAAUGCUCACCGUGCCGAGGUUUUGAGACUACUGUAAGACAGAUGAGAAAACCUGAGGUUUUGACAGUUCUUGGGGAAUAUGCACGAAAUUUCCCAGAAAGGAGUUGCUUUUUCAAGUUGAACCUUCUGCGAGGAGACUGAUCAACCAAUGUGGAGAGGUUGGAAUGUUGCAAGUUCAGAGCCAACUUAUCUCAGGCCAUCUUUAAUCUCUCCUGACAGUCCUCGAAGCUAUGUGACAGAGGUGGAGCACCUGGAAUGCAUAGAGAACCAGGUUCCCUUUGGAAAAUAUUCACUCGCUUCCACCAGCCCAAACCCGAAGGUACCAUCAGUACGUGAGGCCUACAACAGGGUUCUCUGUUUUCCUGUAGCCAGCCUCUCUGAUGCUCCCAACAAUGUAUUUG